rnacentral:rRNA from 1 species
UACGGGGGGGGCAAGCGUUGUUCGGAAUUACUGGGCGUAAAGGGCUCGUAGGUGGCCAACUAAGUCAUACGUGAAAUCCCUCAGCUUAACUGGGGAACUGCGCCUGAUACUGGUUGGCUUGAGUUUGGGAGAGGGACGCGGAAUUCCAGGUGUAGCGGUGAAAUGCGUAGAUAUCUGGAGGAACACCGGUGGCGAAAGCGGCGUGCUGGACCUCUUCUGACGCUGAGGCGCGAAAGCUAGGGGAGCAAACGGG